rnacentral:rRNA from 1 species
GUCUUUUUGAGUUAUUUUUAAAGUCUGACCUGCCCACUGAGUAAAUUUUAAAUGGCCGCAGUAUUUUAACUGUGCAAAGGUAGCAUAAUCAUUAGUCUUUUAAUUGAAGGCUGGUAUGAACGGUUGGACGAAGUAUAAGCUGUUUCAUAUAAAAUUAUAUUUGAAUUUUAUUUUUUAGUAAAAAAGCUAAAAUUUUAUUAAAAGACGAGAAGACCCUAUAAAUCUUUAUAUUUUAUUUUAUAUAAGUUUUUUUGAUUGAUUUUAUUUUUAUAUUUUUAAAUAUUUUAUUGGGGUGAUAUUAAAAUUUAAGAAACUUUUAAUUAAUAAUAAAUCAUUAAUUUAUGAGUUAUUGAUCCAUUAUUAGUGAUUAAAAAAUUAAGUUACUUUAGGGAUAACAGCGUAAUUUUUUUUGAGAGUUCAUAUCGAUAAAAAAGUUUGCGACCUCGAUGUUGGAUUAAGAUAUAUUUUUAGGUGUAGCUGCUUAAAUGUGAAGUCUGUUCGACUUUUAAAUUCUU